ACAAGCGGCGGAGCAUGUGGUUUAAUUCGAAGCAACGCGAAGAACCUUACCAGGGCUUGACAUGCCGCUGACCGGUUUAGAGAUAGAUCUUUACCCUUCGGGGUACAGCGGACACAGGUGGUGCAUGGUUGUCGUCAGCUCGUGUCGUGAGAUGUUGGGUUAAGUCCCGCAACGAGCGCAACCCUUGUCUUUAGUUGCCAUCAUUAAGUUGGGCACUCUAAAGAGACUGCCGAUGACAAAUCGGAGGAAGGUGGGGAUGACGUCAAAUCAUCAUGCCCUUUAUGUCCUGGGCUACACACGUGCUACAAUGGUCGGUACAACGAGAAGCAAGUCAGCGAUGGCAAGCAAAUCUCUAAAAGCCGAUCCCAGUUCGGAUUGCAGGCUGCAACUCGCCUGCAUGAAGUCGGAGUUGCUAGUAAUCGCGGAUCAGAAUGCCGCGGUGAAUGCGUUCCCGGGUCUU
rnacentral:rRNA from 2 species